UACGGAGGGUGCAAGCGUUAUCCGGAUUUACUGGGUUUAAAGGGUGCGUAGGCGGGUUUGUAAGUCAGUGGUGAAAGCCUGGAGCUUAACUCUGGAACUGCCAUUGAUACUGCAUACCUUGAGUACAGUUGAGGUGGGCGGAAUGCAGCAUGUAGCGGUGAAAUGCUUAGAUAUGCUGCAGAACACCGAUUGCGAAGGCAGCUCGCUAAACUGUAACUGACGCUGAGGCACGAAAGCGUGGGGAGCGAACAGG
rnacentral:rRNA from 1 species